AGUGAACGCUGGCGGUAGGCCUAACACAUGCAAGUCGAACGGCAGCACAGUAAGAGCUUGCUCUUACGGGUGGCGAGUGGCGGACGGGUGAGGAAUGCAUCGGAAUCUACUUUUUCGUGGGGGAUAACGUAGGGAAACUUACGCUAAUACCGCAUACGACCUACGGGUGAAAGCAGGGGAUCUUCGGACCUUGCGCGAUUGAAUGAGCCGAUGUCGGAUUAGCUAGUUGGCGGGGUAAAGGCCCACCAAGGCGACGAUCCGUAGCUGGUCUGAGGGGAUGAUCAGCCACACUGGAACUGAGACACGGUCCAGACUCCUACGGGAGGCAGCAGUGGGGAAUAUUGGACAAUGGGCGCAAGCCUGAUCCAGCCAUACCGCGUGGGUGAAGAAGGCCUUCGGGUUGUAAAGCCCUUUUGUUGGGAAAGAAAAGCAGCAGGUUAAUACCCCGCUGUUCUGACGGUACCCAAAGAAUAAGCACCGGCUAACUUCGUG
rnacentral:rRNA from 1 species